AACGCAUCUUGCGCUCCUUGGUAUUCCGAGGAGCAUGCCUGUUUGAGUGUCAUUAAAUUCUCAACUCUCUUAUACUGUUUGGUAAAAGAGAGCUUGGACUGUGGAGGCUUGCUGGCCACUUGUUUGAGGUCAGCUCCUCUGAAAUGCAUUAGCGGAACCGUUUGCGAUCUGCCACAAGUGUGAUAAAUUAUCUACACUGGCGAGGGGAUUGCUCUCAGUAAUGUUCAGCUUCUAAUUGUCUCUUUGUGAGACUACUUUUUGAAUACUUGACCUCAAAUCAGGUAGGACUACCCGCUGAACUUAA
rnacentral:misc_RNA from 2 species